rnacentral:rRNA from 1 species
AUGUCGACGCCGGCGAGGAAGCGCCUGAUGCGCGACUUCAAGCGCCUGCAGCAGGACCCGCCCGCCGGCAUCAGCGGCGCGCCGCACGACAACAACAUCACCCUCUGGAACGCCGUCAUAUUUGGGCCGGAUGACACGCCGUGGGAUGGAGGUACGUUCAAGCUGACCCUGCAAUUCACAGAAGAUUACCCCAACAAGCCACCAACUGUUCGGUUUGUCUCAAGGAUGUUUCACCCAAACAUUUAUGCAGAUGGAAGCAUCUGCUUGGAUAUCCUACAGAACCAGUGGAGCCCUAUAUAUGAUGUUGCGGCGAUAUUGACCUCUAUCCAGUCCCUGCUGUGCGACCCGAACCCGAAUUCUCCUGCGAACUCUGAAGCAGCCAGAAUGUACAGCGAGAACAAGCGCGAGUACAACCGCAAGGUUCGUGAGGUCGUGGAGCAGAGCUGGACAGCGGACUAG